AAAAGCUUUAUUUUAAAUAAAAGUUUAUAAAAAAUAAAAAAUUAGCUGGGGUAGCUGCUUUGUUAAGAUCAAGGUAAUUAAUAACUGGAAGUUUAAAUGGUCCUUAAUAUUAAGAUAAAUAGAAUUAGUUACUU
rnacentral:rRNA from 1 species